CCUACGGGAGGCAGCAGUGAGGAAUAUUGGUCAAUGGGAGAGAUCCUGAACCAGCCAAGCCGCGUGAGGGAAGACGGCCCUAUGGGUUGUAAACCUCUUUUGUCGGAGAACAAAACCCGGGACGUGUCCAGGACUUCGGGUAUCCGAAGAAAAAGCAUCGGCUAACUCCUUGCAAGCAGCCGCGGUAAUACGGAGGCUGCGAGCUUUAUCCUGUUUUCGUGGGAUGAAAGGGUGCGUAGGCGGUCCGUUAAGUCAGCGGUAAAAUUGCGGGGCUCAAACCCGUCGAGCCGUUGAACAUGGCAGACUUGAGUUGGCGAGAAGUACGCGGAAUGCGCGGUGUAGCGGUGAAAUGCAUAGAUAUCGCGCAGAACUCCGAUUGCGAAGGCAGCGUACCGGCGCCAGACUGACGCUGAGGCACGAAAGCGUGGGGAUCGAACAGGAUUAGAUACCCGUGUAGUC
rnacentral:rRNA from 1 species